rnacentral:rRNA from 1 species
UACGUAGGGUGCAAGCGUUAAUCGGAAUUACUGGGCGUAAAGCGUGCGCAGGCGGCUUUGCAAGCCAGAUGUGAAAUCCCCGGGCUUAACCUGGGAAUGGCAUUUGGGACUGCAAGGCUGGAGUUUGGCAGAGGAGACUGGAAUUCCUGGUGUAGCAGUGAAAUGCGUAGAUAUCAGGAGGAACACCGAUGGCGAAGGCAGGUCUCUGGGCUGAAACUGACGCUCAUGCACGAAAGCGUGGGGAGCAAACAGG